rnacentral:rRNA from 1 species
AUGGUUGUCGUCAGCUCGUGUCGUGAGAUGUUGGGUUAAGUCCCGCAACGAGCGCAACCCCUAUUGUUAGUUGCCAUCAUUCAGUUGGGCACUCUAGCGAGACUGCCGGUAAUAAACCGGAGGAAGUGGGGAUGACGUCAAAUCAUCAUGCCCCUUAUGACCUGGGCUACACACGUGCUACAAUGGUUGGUACAACGAGUUGCGAGUCGGUGACGGCGAGCUAAUCUCUUAAAGCCAAUCUCAGUUCGGAUUGUAGGCUGCAACUCGCCUACAUGAAGUCGGAAUCGCUAGUAAUCGCGGAUCAGCACGCCGCGGUGAAUACGUUCCCGGGCCUU